AUCUACUUUCAUUAAGUGAUUUAUUAGAUAAUCGAAAAUAAAGGAUCUUGAAUACUAUUUGAAAUUCAGAAGAACUACGUGGGGUGCCAUUGAAUAGCUGGAAAAAGCUCGGGCUCAUUUACGGAAAGCGGAAAUGGAAGCAGAUCAGUUUCGGGUGAAUGUAUACUCUGAGAUAGAGCGAGAAAAAUGGAAUUUGAUUAAUUCAACUUUUAAGACUUUGGAACAAUUAGAAAAUUAAGAAAAUGAAGCGAUUCAGUUUGAACAGCAAAGAGCGAUUAAUCAAGUCCGACAAUGAGUUUUCCAACAAGCCUUACAAUGAGCUUUAGGAACUCUGAAUACUUGUUUAAACAACGAGUUACA
rnacentral:lncRNA from 1 species